UACGGAGGGUGCAAGCGUUGUCCGGAAUCACUGGGCGUAAAGGGCGCGUAGGCGGCUCAUGAAGGCUGUGGUGAAAGUCCGGGGGCUCAACCUCGGAUCGGCCGUGGCGACUCGUGGGCUGGAGCACUGUAGAGGCGGGGUGGAAUUCCGGGUGUAGCGGUGGAAUGCGUAGAGAUCCGGAAGAACACCAGUGGCGAAAGCGGCUUCCUGGUCCAGCACCGACGUCAGGCACGAAAGCGUGGGGAGCAAACAGGG
rnacentral:rRNA from 1 species